CCACAAUUACUCUGAGACUGCUUUGAUCAAUAAUCUGGCAUAGUCAUCUCCAUUAAUCUCCGCUUCUCCUCAAAUUUCUCUUCGUUGUUGGUGCAUUCAUUAGCUAUAGCGUUCCACAGUCAGGUUUGUCUACCUCAGAUACCAUACCAGGAAGUACAACCUUUAUCAACAGCAUGUCACCGGAGAGAAAGCAAUUAUUUUUAUCCGAGCUAAAGAGAAAAAAGGGCUGAGUCAAAAAAACAAAAACUCCUUCAUCAAUCAUAUACUACUGGAGCUCUUACAAUCAGCACUUCUUCGUUAUCUCCUU